GGAAUGAGGGUCUCCCAGGGGUUUUGGGGGAACAAGGGAACACUGUAAAUUUUACAAUAGGAACACGGGAACAAAGGAAACAAAAUUAGGGAACAAGGGAACACGAAAUACAUUGGGGAACAGGGGAACAAAGCCCCUUUCCUAGAAUAUAUACAAGUGUUACAAUCAUAGGCGUACGGGGCCGCUAAAUUCUGGGGGGGCGGUAGCUUUUUUGCCCAAAAAAUUCCACAUUGCCCAAAAACUUUUUUUCCGGAAAAAUUAUUUUGGCGACCCCCCCCCCCGUCGCCAAAAAAAUUUCGGUCAGUGUACCAUUUUAGGGGUCAAAAAAUUUUUCCGGACAACCAAUAUUUUUCGGAAC